GUCCACGCCCUAAACGAUGUCAACUAGGUGUUGGGUGGGUAAAACCAUUUAGUACCGGAGCUAACGCGUGAAGUUGACCGCCUGGGGAGUACGGCCGCAAGGUUAAAACUCAAAGGAAUUGACGGGGACCCGCACAAGCGGUGGAUGAUGUGGAUUAAUUCGAUGCAACGCGAAAAACCUUACCUACCCUUGACAUGUCCAGGAGCCUGAAGAGAUUUGGGUGUGCCCGAAAGGGAACUGGAACACAGGUGCUGCAUGGCUGUCGU
rnacentral:rRNA from 1 species